GAACGGUAACGCGGGGCAACCUGGCGACGAGUGGCGAACGGGUGAGUAAUACAUCGGAACGUACCCAGGAGUGGGGGACAACCUCGAGAAAUCGAGGCUAAUACCGCAUACGUCCUGAGGGAGAAAGCGGGGGAUCGCAAGACCUCGCGCUCAUGGAGCGGCCGAUGUCGGAUUAGCUAGUUGGCGGGGUAAAGGCCCACCAAGGCUACGAUCCGUAGCUGGUUUGAGAGAACGACCAGCCACACUGGGACUGAGACACGGCCCAGACUCCUACGGGAGGCAGCAGUGGGGAAUUUUGGACAAUGGGCGCAAGCCUGAUCCAGCCAUGCCGCGUGAGUGAAGAAGGCCUUCGGGUUGUAAAGCUCUUUCGGCCGGAACGAAAUCGCGUACGUGAAUAACGUGCGUGGAUGACGGUACUGGAAGAAGAAGCACCGGCUAACUACGUGCCAGCAGCCGCGGUAAUACGUAGGGUGCGAGCGUUAAUCGGAAUUACUGGGCGUAAAGCGUGCGUAGGCGGUUUCGCAAGUCAGAUGUGAAAUCCCCGGGCUUAACCUGGGAACUGCGUUUGAAACUACGGAGCUAGAGUACGGCAGAGGGGGGUGGAAUUCCA
rnacentral:rRNA from 1 species